CAAAAUUCGGAGAGGCCUCCAAUUGCACCAAAGCUUCCUCCUGGGAGAUCUCCAAAGGCUAACAAGCAAGAUUCUGAUGAAGUUUCUGCAACUGCUAAUGUAACUAAAAGCCAAUUACGAAAUGUCACUCAUAACGUACAGAGUGUUCCAUCUGUGCUUGAUAAAAGCAAAACCUUUGAUAACUUCAAAGAGAUAAAAGAGGAUAAGGACAUUUCUGAUUCAGGUGAUAGUGAAGAAGCAUAUGAAGAUGCACUUGAUACACUUUCAAGAACUGAAUCAUUUUUUGUGAAUUGUAGUGUGAGUGGUUUAAGUGGAUUUGAUGAUCUUGACGUGAAAACAUCUGGAAGGUUUUCGACUGAUCCACAAAUGCAGGAAUUCAUGAUGGGUCGGUUUCUCCCUGCGGCUAAGGCAAUGGCUUCAGAAACGCCUGAAUAUGUCCCCAAAAAGCAACCUGUAGUUCAACAACAACCAAGACAGAUAAAGAAAAAAGUAACUGGAGAUAAGCCUCUGUUGCGAUAUGGUCCUAGUUUUGCAAAUCAUUAUUCCCACCACUAUCAUGAUAAUGAUGGUGAUGACGACGAUGAAGAAAGUGAUGAUGAUCAUUGUCAAGGUGGAAAUUUGCCAGCAGUUUGUGGGUUGCUGCCCCGUUUCUGCUAUAAGAGUUCACUCUGCCUUUUAAAUCCUGCUCCCGCAAUGAGUGUGAGGACCCGAGUACCAAGGUCUCCUGCUACUAAAAUGCAAGGGAGAUCAUCAUCAGCUGGCUCUUUCAGUGGAACAGAGAAUGAGGUAAUAAGUUGUAGUUCCUUCUGCCCCCUUUCUCCCUACUUAUGUAUGCCAAUCUACAUGCAUGGGUUUUGUUGACUAAAAUGUACUUCUGUUUUAUGAAGCAGUCUAGUUCUGACACUUCUAUCCGAAAAUCUGCUGGUGAAGUCCAUACGGAUGAAGCAAUCGAGGAUAAAACAAGUUUGAGAAAUCAGGUCAAUUCAAAUAAUUGGCAGAGACAGAAUCUUAAGGGAUCAUCUCUAUGUGGACCGCUAGAUGGACAUAUUACAACUAUCUAUUGUGAUGAAUCACCACAAGUCAUUCAUGAAGAGAAAGGGGUCCUUGCCAUUCCUGAAGAAACAAAGGGUUUUGUAACCUUUCAAGAAUUAUUGUGUGAUCAGAGCAGUUCGAAGGAAUUAGAUUCCACAAGUCCUGUUGAGAAAACUCUGUAUGUCGAUACUAUACAGCAGGUGGAAUCUCCAAGAACGAGAUUUUGUUUGUCACAUAAGCAAGUGGAGCGAAUGCCUGGUGCAGGGGACAAAGAUUACGAGGUUAUUACUAAGUCCGAAGAUCAACAUAAUUUGCAUACUGCAGAUGAGGGAGCAAAAUUACUGCCAAACGCUCAGAAAUUUAGUGACUUUGUUGUAGUAUCUUCAAUCAACAAAUCAAAUCUAAAAGAGGGAAUGGGGACAACAAAAGCUUUUGGACAUGAUCAUGAUGUUUACCGCAAUUCAGAUACUGCCAUUUAUAUAGAAGUAAAUGAAAAGAAGACUACUGAGAGCUUACGACAGCAGCCACAGGAAUCAGAAAAGCUAGAGAAUUCUCAUCAAAGCCACUUGCCGUUUCCUGUUCCUCCACCAUUACCAAAAUCUCCAUCAGAUUCUUGGCUUUUCCGUACUUUGCCUUCCAUGUCCACAAAGAAUUCAUUUCUGCGUUCAUACGUCGGCACGGCAACAAAUCCUCGAAACCAGGGACUUAAGGCACAAACCUGUGAUCCCAAAUGGGAAACAAUGGUUAAAACUUCAAAGGUGCAGCAUCAAUAUUUUCAUUAUUUUGAGAUACUAUUGCUCAUUAUUUUUACUAAUUAAUUUGAUUCUGUAGAUUUCACUUCAUAUUUUAUUAUAAGAAUAAAAUCUAAUUGGCUAACAUUGUUUCCUUUUCUGUCAGGAACAGUUGACUCUUAUUCCUGAAACAUAGAAGAACCAUUCCUGAGACCCUUCUGUUCAUAUUCAGCUGUUUAUUGGUUAAUCCAUUAGCUUAAUGGACAUGUUAGAUGACAAAAAGGUGCAACUUUUUCCCCUUGUUUUCUUUCCUUCCUAUGGUUAUCUGGAGGUGCUUUGUUUUGUCAUCCUAGAGGGCAAUGAUUUGGUAACUGUAAUUCUGAUGCCUCGUCUCCUGCCUAGUGAUUAAUGGUCAUAAUAAAAAUAAGUUCCUGUAUAGCUUAGCUUUGAGUUAUUUUCUUCUGAACAAAUUGUACAUCUAUAAAGGGAAACACGAGACUACACUUGAAAUAUGGAUGCUGAAAGACUUGGUACAUGUUCUCUCAUAUCUUGAGUUAUUUUGACUACUAUAAACUUUUAGGUUGUGUAUAUUGG
rnacentral:lncRNA from 1 species